GACGAACGCUGGCGGCGUGCCUAAUACAUGCAAGUUGAGCGCUGAAGGUUGGUACUUGUACCGACUGGAUGAGCAGCGAACGGGUGAGUAACGGGUGGGGAAUCUGCCUUGGAGCGGGGGACAACAUUUGGAAACGAAUGAUAAUACAGCAUAAAAACUUGAAACACAAGGUUUAAGGUUGAAAGAUGCAAUUGCAUCACCUAAAUCUGAUUCCUCGUUGGAUUAGGUAGUUGGCGAGGAAAAGGCUCAUCAAGGACUAGAUACAUAGCCUGCCUGGUCGGGUGGACGGCCCCAAUGGGACUGGGACACGGCCCAAACUCCUACGGGAGGCAGCAGUAGGGAAUCUUCGGCCAUGGAGGAAAGUCUGACCGAGCAACGCCGCGUGAGUGAAGAAGGUUUUCGGAUCGUAAAACUCUGUUGGUAGAGAAGAACGUUGGUGAAAGUGGAAAGCUCAUCAAGUGACGUUAACUACCGAGAAAGGGACGGCUAACUACGUG
rnacentral:rRNA from 1 species